CUCUCUCUCUCUCCUGCUGCAUUGUGAAGAAACUGCUUGCUUCCCUCUCACCCUCUGCAGUUUCCUGAGGCCUCCCCAGCCAUGCGGAACGGGAGAAAGUUUAAGCUCUCCUCACUAUGAGUUUUCAAGUAUAAAAGACUUUUUCUUCCACGAUUUUGAGAACAACUGAGGACUCUUGUGACCAGGACAACAGGGAAGCUUGCAGCAAGAUAGCUCCAGGUUGGAUUCAUGCUUCGCACCCCAAGGGCUGCCAGCCAGAGAGGAGGAGAAGCAAUCACUCCUGCAGUUUCUGAACACUACACAGACGCCAGGUAGCUUCUUCAGGAGAACAGCCCUCUGAGGAGGCAGGAAGAGGAGGCUUAUCUUUCAGCAGCCGGAGCUGCUGAGAUCUCUGGGCAGAUUAAGCUCUCUCUAAUGGAUGGGCUCCAGCCUGGCACAUUCAGUGGAGAGGGAUCCACUCAUCCAUCAUCAACAUAAUAUGGUCCUCCCUGCACUUCACAGUGUCCUCUUGCUAUUGAAAAGGCUUUUUUGCCUUCUCAAGUUUCUUUGUCAACAGUCUACAGGAAGAAGCUCAGGCCGCCACCGGCAGAGAACCUUCCACUGGCCACUCAGCGAAAGGCAGCUGAUUCAGCACCUGGAGAAGACCGGCAACAGGGCUGAGUUUCCUUGCACUGCAGAGGAGGGGAGAGGCAAGGAGUGGACAUGAGCACGGAGGAUCCAGGGCACUCCCUUGAUGGUGAUGCCCUCGAAGGGCUGCCCCGUGCCCAUUGUACAGAAUGUGGAUUCCACCCCACGCCAUGAGAGCUCUCGCGCAGGCCCAGACCACUUUAUAAGCCAUAUUUCCCACCAAUUCCUGUUUCUGGAUCUGUCAGGUUAUUUCAUAUUUCUAGGCCCUUAGCUUUGCUUCCUCUUCCCUGAACGCCCUUUGCCCACAUCAUCCCAGCUCUCCUUCUCCUCCUGCCUUCUGUCUUCUCUUCCUCUCAUUUCUUGUCACCCAGGCUGGAGUCCAGUGGCGUGAUCACGGCUCACUACAGCCUUGAACUCCCGGGCUCAGGUGAUCCUCCCACCUGAGCCUCCCGAGUAGCUGGGACUACAGAUGCACACCACCAUGCCAGCUAAUUUUUAAAACUGUUUUUAGGGAUGGGGUCAUCUUCCUGUGUUGCCCAGGCUUGUCUCAAACUCCUGGGCUCAAGUGAUCCUCUCACCUCAGCCUUCCAAAGUGCUGGGAUUACAGGCAUGAGCCACAACAUCCAGCCCCUUUUCUCUUUUCUUACCCUUCUUUCCUAUUUUCUUUUCCAUUUUCUUUCCCUCCCUUCUUCUUUCUUUCCUAACUAUUAAGGAGUAGAUUGAAUUCAAGGUCUUUAUGUGUGUCAGUUUUUGUUUUCCAACAAAUAUUUCUUAAAAACCAACCAUUGAAACGUAAUGGUAACCACUGGCCCCUGUCUCCACCUCCACACCUAAGAAGCCCCAAAUCCAGAUGUGUCCAUUAAAAUCAGUCCAGAUCUUCUUUACCAAGCCACUAGAUGUCAUAUUAAUUUCACAGCAGAAUAGGGAAGCCCAUGCCGGAGCUGAAAACCUGCAACAACAAAAAAGCAUCUAAAUACUGCAAAAAAAAAAAAAAAAAAGAGGGAGAGAGGCAUCUUAAUAUUUGUCCUUAACACAUCAUACCAGACUUCUGCUUCCAGGAAUGACUGGAUGUGGUUUUUCUAGGUGGACAUAAUACAAAAUGCAGCUACCUGAAAACAAUGGAAAGUGGACAGAGCAGGCAGAUUCUGGUGGGAAGUCCACGCAAUAAAGAAAAGAUGUUACAGGAA
ensembl:lncRNA LINC00958 long intergenic non-protein coding RNA 958